rnacentral:snRNA from 1 species
GUGGUUAUUUAUCCGAGAAUAUU